rnacentral:rRNA from 1 species
GUGGAGAAUUUUGGACAAUGGGCGCAAGCCUGAUCCAGCAAUGCCGCGUGCAGGAAGAAGGCCUUCGGGUUGUAAACUGCUUUUGUACGGAACGAAACGGUCCGGGUUAAUACCCUGGGCUAAUGACGGUACCGUAAGAAUAAGCACCGGCUAACUACGUGCCAGCAGCCGCGGUAAUACGUAGGGUGCAAGCGUUAAUCGGAAUUACUGGGCGUAAAGCGUGCGCAGGCGGUUUUGUAAGACAGGCGUGAAAUCCCCGGGCUCAACCUGGGAAUUGCGCUUGUGACUGCAAGGCUGGAGUGCGGCAGAGGGGGAUGGAAUUCCGCGUGUAGCAGUGAAAUGCGUAGAUAUGCGGAGGAACACCGAUGGCGAAGGCAAUCCCCUGGGCCUGCACUGACGCUCAUGCACGAAAGCGUGGGGAGCAAACAGGAUUAGAUACCCUAGUAGUCC